rnacentral:rRNA from 1 species
AAUCAACGCUGGCGGCGUGCCUAACACAUGCAAGUCGAGCGCGAAUAGGGGGGUAACUCCCUUAGUAGAGCGGCGAACGGGUGAGUAACGCGUGGGUGAUCUACCUUCGAGUGGGGAAUAACAUCGGGAAACUGGUGCUAAUACCGCAUGACAUCCUUGGUUCACUCCGGGGAUCAAAGCCGGGGACCGCAAGGCCUGGCGCUUGAAGAUGAGCCCGCGUCCGAUUAGCUAGUUGGCGGGGUAACGGCCCACCAAGGCGACGAUCGGUAG